rnacentral:snoRNA from 1 species
AUCCCAUGAUGAGGACACUUACGCAGUAACUCCUUGAAUCGCUCCAAAGCCUUAUACAAAGACUCAUCAUCCAAUUGUUGGAAGGUUGUGAUCUCGUUCUAUAACACU